rnacentral:rRNA from 1 species
GACGAACGCUGGCUGCGUGCUUAACACAUGCAAGUCGAACGCUGAAGCUCACAGCUUGCUGUGGGUGGAUGAGUGGCGAACGGGUGAGUAACACGUGAGUAACCUGCCCCCGAUUUCGGGAUAAGCCCGGGAAACUGGGUCUAAUACCGGAUAUGACCACCGGCCGCAGGGUUGGUGGUGGAAAGUUUUUCGAUCGGGGAUGGGCUCGCGGCCUAUCAGCUUGUUGGUGGGGUAAUGGCCUACCAAGGCGACGACGGGUAGCCGGCCUGAGAGGGCGACCGGCCACACUGGGACUGAGACACGGCCCAGACUCCUACGGGAGGCAGCAGUGGGGAAUAUUGCACAAUGGGGGAAACCCUGAUGCAGCGACGCAGCGUGCGGGAUGACGGCCUUCGGGUUGUAAACCGCUUUCAGCAGGGAAGAAGCGUAAGUGACGGUACCUGCAGAAGAAGUACCGGCUAACUACGUGCCAGCCGCCGCCGUAA